UGGCAGGAACCAUGCUGAUGCUGGCCGUUCUGCUGCCACUGGCCUUCUUUCUGCUCCUUGCCACCGUCUUCUCCUGCAUCUGGAAGAGCCACCCUUCUCUCUGCAGGAAACUGGGAUCGCUGCUCAAGAGGCGUCCGCAGGUAAUGGCGGGGGCUGAGAAGGCAGCAAGAAGGGGAAGAGGUGAUGAGGGUACAAGGUGGAGCAGACAGGAAGAGAGUAUGCAGGCUGACUCCACACUCAUUCAUUCAUUCAACUGAUGAUUUACUGAACAUGCCACGUACCAGGCACUGUCCUAGGCACUGGGCGUACAGCAGUGAGCAAAACACAGUACCUCAUUUCCUGGAGUUCACAUGCCCAUGGAGCAAGA
rnacentral:lncRNA from 10 species